GACGAAUGCUGGCUGCGUGCUUAACACAUGCAAGUCGAACGGUGAAGGGGAGCUUGCUCCCCGGAUCAGUGGCGAACGGGUGAGUAACACGUGGGCAACCUGCCCCUCACUCUGGGAUAACUCCGGGAAACCGGGGCUAAUACCGGAUACGACCGGGAGCGACAUCGCUCCUGGUGGAAAGAACUUCGGUGAGGGAUGGGCCCGCGGCCUAUCAGCUAGUUGGUGGGGGCACGGCCCACCAAGGCGACGACGGGGAGCCGGCCUGAGAGGGCGGCCUGCCACACUGGGACUGAGACACGGCCCAGGCUCCUACGGGAGGCAGCAGUGGGGAAUAUUGCACAAUGGGCGUAAGCCUGAUCCAGCAACGCCGCGUGAGGGACGACGGCCUUCGGGUUGUAAACCUCUUUCGCCUAUGACGAAGCGCAAGUGACGGUAAUAGGUAAAGAAGCACCGGCCAACUACGUGCCAGCCGCCGCUGUAACAC
rnacentral:rRNA from 1 species